rnacentral:lncRNA from 1 species
GAGAGUCCUAGGCAGAAGGACAGCUCAAGCAAAGGCUGAGACAGGAGCAAUCUCAGCCCCAGGAAGAGGAAAGUGGCCCAUGUGGUUGGAGCAGUGGAAGAAAGGAGGGCACAGGGGGGCUCACUGAGGCUCACAGCGGGAGACAUUUCACCAAGUUAUCCUGAGAAGCUCUGAGGUCACAGAGCAGCGUGGCAACUGGGAUUACAGAGCGAGACUCCAUCUCAAAAAAAGAAAGAAAGAAAAAAGCAUUGUCAAAACCUAAUAACUGCAACACUAUAUCCUGAGCAGCUGAAUCUGCAAUCAUCUUUUUAAGAGACUUCUGUAACCAAGCUAUAAAAUCAACGUAUGGUUCUCUUGGUCCCUG